AUACGGAGGGGGUUAGCGUUGUUCGGAAUUACUGGGCGUAAAGCUCACGUAGGCGGACUGGAAAGUUGGGGGUGAAAUCCCGGGGCUCAACCCCGGAACUGCCUCCAAAACUUCCAAUCUAGAGAUCGAGAGAGUUGAGUGGAAUUCCAAGUGUAGAGGUGAAAUUCGUAGAUAUUUGGAGGAAAACCAGUGGCGAAGGCGGCUCACUGGCUCGAUACUGACGCUGAGGUGCGAAAGCGUGGGGAGCAAACAGGAUUAGAAACCCUAGUAGUCC
rnacentral:rRNA from 1 species